UCUUCUGGAAUGCCCUGACGGUUACUGUCAUGUUGUUUAACACAAUGUCCCACUCUUCUUCCCAAGUGACUCAGCUUCCUGUAGACACUUGCUUCCUGAAGUGAGUGCCUUGAAACACUAUUUACUGCAUCUAGAGGAGCCAGAAAAGCAAAUGGGGUCUGCUGUAAAUGAAAUGUCCAAGAUGCGCAAGCGAAACAGCUUUUCCUUGCAGGGUUCUCACAGGCCUGAGACGCAGUCCUCUCCCCAUUCGCCUUUGCUUCUGUCGUGAAGGCAUCCUUUCUCUACUUUCACUGCAGCUCGACCUCGCACCAGCGCAGUACUGUUCUCAACCGGUUGCCUAUGCUCUGUGACUGCUGGACGGAUGAGGACAUGGUUAAGAUCCUUUCAAGGAAAUGAUGCGAAUUGCUUAUGCUCUGUGACUGCUGGACGGAUGAGGACAAGGUUAAGAUCCUUUCAAAGAAA